GAUCGCUGCUUCUCAGUACGUGAUGACGGACGCCUGGGUUAGUGUUACAGACAGCGGCUCAGGAAGCAACAGCGUGCACGGGCUGUUCGCACAGGUAGAAGUAUCUUUAGCGACGUUCCUCAAAAUGGGAUCGCUGGGCGUUUGCAGUUUUGAAAGACAUUGCCAAACUGCCCUCCAUAGGAGUUAGGAAGGGAACCUGAAGUGUGUAAUUUAGAGUUAUAAAGAUAACAAGUAAAAACAGGGAUAUGUGUCAUAAAACCAAUAAAGCCCAGGAGGGGACGAAGGAGGAAAUGCCGGGGAGACGAGAUGAACCACAUCUGUUACCCUUCCUGAUGGGGAUUCGGUGCGUACUCUUUAGAGCUUACAAACACACACGCCGUUCAGAGUGGUCCCCUCUGGGACUGGGGCAGGAGACAUCUUCCUCUCACUGUGUUUUCCUACGUGCUCGAAAAAUGAUGAGGCCAUGUUCAUGUGUUACUGCCAGAGGCAGACAGCUGUGUCCGUGUCUAAUAGUGACACCACCCCAGGACCAGUCUUCUGUGCAGGCUGGGUGGGAAACCGCUGUGGGGAGCAGGUUCUGUGCUCCCACGGGUGCCUGGUCGCUUACGGGUGACAUUUGAGAAUCGAGGACUGUCCCGGGCCCCUUCUGGUUCCACACCGCCCCCCGCCCCCUGUCCCCGGGAGUUUUUCAGAGGCAAAACAGAGAGGGGACUCCUGAAAAGUUUCUGGACACCUGUUCUGAGGGGAAAGCCGGAAGGUGGUGCCUGAGAGAGGAAAGAAAGAACUAUUCAGACCCCAGGGUCCCGGGGUGCGCUCCAUGUGGCAGGACCUUCGUCAGGAGGGUGAGGACCGAAUCCUCAACUCUUGUACAGACCCAGUGGACAGCUGAUAGGCGCCUCAUUCCGCUGAUUUUAAGUUGCGUUUCCCCCCCUACACACACACACACACACACACACACACACACACACACACACACACAGAGUCAUUUCCCCAUUCCGGAAGUCAGAAUGUGUCUUUCGCUGCAAGCAUGGGGCAGCUCGGCUUUGCCAGGGGUGCAGGACUCAUGGCCCACCUUCCUGCAGGGUGUCCUGGACGGGCCGAGACCUCCCACGCACGGCGGUGGCCUCUCCAGCCCUCCGAGCGCAACACGCAGGGGGAGUUUCUCGGCCGCCCCACGGAGGCUGCAGGCGGCGGGGGGGGUGGGGGACGGGCCCCGGGUGCCCCCGGCUGAUGGCCCUGUCUUGCAGGUGUAGCCGCCGGCCACCAUGGGCAAACAGAACAGCAAGCUGCGGCCCGAGGUGCUGCAGGACCUGCGUGAGAACACGGAGUUCACCGACCACGAGCUGCAGGAGUGGUACAAGGGCUUCCUCAAGGACUGCCCCACCGGCCACCUGACCGUGGACGAGUUCAAGAAGAUCUACGCCAACUUCUUCCCCUACGGCGACGCCUCCAAGUUCGCCGAGCACGUCUUCCGCACCUUCGACACCAACGGGGACGGCACCAUCGACUUCCGGGAGUUCAUCAUCGCGCUGAGCGUCACCUCGCGGGGCAAGCUGGAGCAGAAGCUCAAGUGGGCCUUCAGCAUGUACGACCUGGACGGCAACGGCUACAUCAGCCGCAGCGAGAUGCUGGAGAUCGUGCAGGUACGGCUCCGCGCCACGCCGGGCCCGCCCCCCUCCCCGGACGCGUGUGGCCGUCGCCGCGGCGUCGGGUCAUUCUCGGCCGGGGCGCCCCCUCCCCCACCCCGCACCGUGCGCUUUUGAAGGUGCCCGGCUGGCACCUAACCGGGCGGGGCCUUGCAAUAGGAAUGAUAAGAGCCCGGGUUUCUCGAUCACUUGCUUGUCCGCGUCAGGCCCGGGGCCUAAGGGCUCUGAUCUGUUUCUUCACGACCCUGUGCGCCAGCGCCCUUCUCUGCACUUCACAAAAUCUGAGCCUCGGAGAGGUGAUGCCCUAAGAAAGAACAGAGCUGAAAAUUAACAAUUGAGGGGUCCCUUGAUGCUUGCCGAAGGCGCCUGCUAGGAGACCUUUUCGAAUCCCCGUAUUCGAGAAUGCAACCGGCAGCUUGUAAUGUCCCCGGGAACGCGCGGUUGUAAAGCAGAACCGAAGCGUUAGUGGCCCUGGAAUAAGUCAGACGCAGGAGGGACACCUCUUCAUGAGACCUUCUCGCCUCACCUUCGCGCCUGUCAGGAGCUCUGGCAGGUGAGGCUGUUUUCCAGAAAGAAACCAAGUUUUGUUCACUUCGCCAGAGGGACCCCGGAGCUGCUCCUUCCUGGUGCCCCCCUGUGCCCCCUCUCCUGGAGCCUGGGGGAGCCGGUUCUAGAAUUCCUCAGAAGAGGCGUUCUCUACAUGGAAGGAAGCAGCUUCUUGGCUCAGGAACGAAGUGUUGAGCAAAGAGCAUCAAACCGGCCACGAGUGGCCUGAUCAACCCAUGUCUCAAAUAGGUGGUCUUCACAAAGAAUAAAUCGACACAGGUUUGGGGAACUCUGUGGUCCAUUCGUCGCUUCCGGUCCGUAGCUAUAAGGGGUGGGAGAAGUAAGAAAUCUGCCUCCCUGGAAUGUCUUCAUCCUGCCCUACCCGUCAGCCCUUUGGCAACCAGGCAUGCCCUCCCCCUGUCCCCUCGCAUAGCUCCUCAGCUUGCCAGGUGGGAUACCCAUCCCUACACCUUUCGCAGAACGGACUGGUGUUUUGAAUUUAAGAAAAAAAAAUUUUGUUUCAUGUUUAUUUAUUUUUGAGAGAGAGAAAGCGGGAGACAGAGUGUCAGCAGGGGAGGGGCGGAGAGCGAGGGAGACGCAGAAUCCGAAGCAGGCUCCGGGCUCUGAGCUGUCAGCACAGGGCCCGACGAGGGGCUGGAACCCACGAACUGCGAGAUCCUGACCUGAGCCGAAGGCGGAUGCUUAACCGGCUGAGCCUCCCAGGCGCCCCAGAAUGGACUGCUGUUUUAAGUCCUUCAGAAGCCUACCUACCAAGUCCUCGCAGGGGCUUGGUGCUGCCUUUGGCUCUGCACUUGGGCAGGAGGGGUGGCCCGGGCCCAGGAGGGUGUCCUGUCUCAGGAAGAUGCACACCCGCGUGGCACAGCUCCCCUGGGCCGUGAGGCUGGUGGGAGACGGGACCAGGCCAGGCCUGCCCCUGCCCUGAAAACAGAGAGGGGGCAAGGAGCAGGGGAACAUAAUACAUAUGGGAAAACUCACUCAGGACCACUCUUUUUUGGGUUUUGUUUUUGUGUUUUUCAUGCCCUGCUUUUAAGUUAAAAUAAGUCUCAGACUUUUGCUGUUCUUGGUCUGUUGUUUCAGGAAUGGGGGUUUCAGUCAGGCCACUUGCACGGAAGCCCCUUCCUCCUUGCAUGUUACUCUGAUGGUCGCUGGCCUCCUCGCGGCCCCUCCACACGCACGCCUGUGCCCACCACGGCACAGGGACGCGUGUCCAGGCUGGGCCCCCGGGACAGAGACACACCGGGAUGGCCCGUGGUGGUGGUGAGCCCGCGGAUGGCAGUGCUCUAAAGAGAAGGGCUUCUAUCCUUCUGGAGAGACCCGUGCCACCUCGCUGCUGCCCCUUUCUGGGGCUGGUUUUCUCCCUAUGGGUUUCAGGGACUAAAUCUUUCCGUUCUAGACUGAGGUAGUACAUAUAUGUCUGUGUGCCCACCACCCUCGGUGAGUUACGGACAUUCCCAGCCCCCCAGAAGGCUCCCUCAAGGGCCUCCCCGGGCACUGUCCCACCUCCCACCCUAGACAGCCCCCCAGUCUCAGCCCCCUGUCACUGUGGAGUUGUUUUGCCUGCCCUUGAACUUCGCACAAAUGGGUCUGGCUUCCUUUGCUCAGCAUGCCGUCUGCGAUAGUCACCGUGGAACAUUCUAGAAACGUUCCUCUGGAAAGCUGAGGAAGGGUCCCGAAGGCUGCUACAUCCCGACCUCUUCGCGCCUUGCCGUGAGCUGCGUGGAAGCUCACGCCGGCCCCAUGUGCCCGGAAACAUUCCAGAAUCUCCGAGCACAUCUUCCGCGUGUCUCUUUGUAGGCUAUCUACAAGAUGGUGUCCUCUGUGAUGAAAAUGCCCGAGGACGAGUCCACCCCGGAGAAACGAACGGACAAGAUCUUCCGGCAGAUGGACACCAACAAUGACGGUAAGGAGUGGGUGCGUGUGUGUGCGCGUGUGUCUGUGCAGGGCGGCUGAGGGCAAAGAUGUGGUUGGCCCCUUCUGCGGCUUCCCGGGCCUCUCCCAGCCCACCCCUGGCCUCGUGCAGCUGUACUGAGGGAAGAGGCAGGAUUCAGAGUCAGAGAGACCCGGUCCUGCAUCCUGGCUCUGUCCUCAAGGCAUGUCCUGUCCCCCCGCCCCCGAGCCAUAGUGCCCUCACUUCUAAAAUGAGGGAGACCGUCAGCCCCAUCGGCGUGUCCCAGGGAGGGGGAGGCACCCGGGGGGCAGGUGCAUCAAGGGGCCCGGAUGGUGGGAAACCUUUGCUUUGCUGUCAUCCUGGCUGCCAGGCUCCCCGGUGCCCCGUGGCCUGCAACAGCCGUGGCAGGGUCCCUGGGGCCAUACUGCAGCAGGACUGGUGGGGACAGAUGGGCAGUGGUGGUGGCCGUACGGGGAGGACAUGCUCCACGUGUCGUCCUCUGCCUCAGCACUGAGGUUCGGUAGGAUCCACGCAGGGGGAGGCAGCCCUGCAAGGGCGGGUCCGUGCCUCUUGCCGGCCCUGUCAUCCUGGAGGUUAAAAAUCAGUGAAUACGUGAAGGGGUGCUCGGUAAACUCUCAAGCACUUUUGGCACAUGAGUCAGAGGACUGAGCCAGCCCGGGCAUGACGUUUACGGUGUGACCGCAGGCGGCAGAGGGCACCCUGGACACAUCGGACAGCAAGGGAAGUUUCCCAAACGCGUCCACAUGUCAAACAAGACCGCCUUGUGUCUGGCAUUGCCCUUGUGCUCACUUAAAACCCGUCUUUCACCCUCCAGGGUAGCAAGGCACAGGCUCCAGAUGCCCACAGACCUGCACGGAGUCUUGGGCUCGCCCGAGCCUUGGUUUUCUCCUCUGGGAAAUGGGGUUGAUAAAUUCAGGCUCGGGUGGUGGUGAGGAUUCAAUGGGACGAUGCCCAGGAAGCUCUUAGUGUCGCCCUUGGGCCCCCCCCUCCCCUGCCGGGACCCACGCACCCGUUCCGGGCCCAGCUGGGCCCGCACCGUGCGCCUUCCCUGCUUGUUGGUGAACCUGAGUCCGUGCACCGUGGGGCCGGGCACCUCUGUGAGCCCCUGUCCGUCUGUCCCUGGGGCCUGGGGAGGGAAGGAAGAGUGGGUGUUGGAGGGAUCAGGGCGAAAGCAGGGGUGCCCAGCCCUUGAGCUGGGGGGCCCUGCACUCUGUCUUAUUUUCCGGCCACCCCGGGGGUCAGUGGUGCCCACGGGUUUUCUCCAGCACCACCCUCUCUUGUCCACACCCCCAACCCAGCCAUACGUGUGAACUGAGACUGGCCGCGUGCCAGGAGCGCCCUGACCACUGCCAGACGGACCCAGAGACGCAGAUCAUGCUCAGGAACCCCCAGAGCCCCCGAGGGCCCCCCUCAGCCCCUCACCCGCCCUGCUGUCUGCCAGGAGGAAGGGGCUGUGCUUUUAGAAGCUUCCCCGCCCCCCCACCCCCACCCCUACCCCGGAGCCAUCAGAUGGUGGGGGAGUGGCCGGUAAAAGUCCCCACCAGCCAUCAGGAGAGUGAGAAAACACAGUCGUCCUCCGUGUAAGCAGAGGGUCCCGGACGGUUUCUCCUCCUCUGAAGGGGGUGCUUCCCAGCGCAGCCUGGGGCCUAGAGGCUGGUUAGUCUCCCCGAGGGGCCUGUCUGCCUGCCCCCUACUGGGGACCCGCAAGAGGGGGUGUUCCUCUCCGGCGGGGGGCUGGCAGGUGGUCUCGGCCCGGGAGGCUGGAUCCUCGCCUCCGGACCCCUCACUUGGCUUCCUGGAAGCCGCUCGCGGAGCGUGUCCUCUGGGUCAGGUCGGGGCUGGAGAUCCCUGCCCGUGGUGGCAUGGCACGGGCCACGAGCUCCUUACUCCCUUUACUGCUGUCCUGCGGGGUACAUAUCACGGUCUCACAGCCACAGACUGCCCACGCAUCAGCCGGCAGAGCACAGCCAGCUUCACCCCGACGUCCUUGCCCAUGUGCAUCCUGGGAGAGGGGGGCAGUGACCGUGUGGGUCACGGUCUCUCCGGAACUCACUGAGGUUGUCAAACCCACGUUCCUAUCUCUUCGUCCCAACAGUGGCAGGCUCGGCGGUGCGGGAGGGACAGAGGGUGGGGGAGGGCCGGCUGGACGCUUGGCAAGGCGGGUCUCCUCGAGUCCCCCACCCCAAAGGGUGACAGUACAGCCGGUCUGCCAGCCAAGCGGAGGCCGGGCAGUGCCCGGGGGCCCCCGGCUGCCCUCCACCCACCCACCCACCCACCCAGCCGUGCUCCCCUCGGCUCUGAGGAAGUUAUGGGUGAGAGGCAGAGACCGUGUUCUUUCUGGACAGCUCACGGCUUGCUUACGUAAAGCCUGGGGUGACUGCUAGAAGGAUUUAAAUUGCCCCACAAGCCACAGCUCCCGUCUUACUGGAUAUGCCCCUUAAGCUGCCCCGUGCUUUGCAGCGAGCGGUGACAGCAAAACGGGAGUUUCCAGGAGCGCCUGCGAAGGGAGCGGAGCCUCCCUUGGGCCCCGCUUCGAGAAGGUGCGAGACUUAGACCGGAGGGGGCGUCCCGGACCCGGGAGCCGUCUCCGUGACCUCUGGAAGCGCGAGGGGCACCGGGCACUGGCUCACCCCCUCCCCGUAUCUCCUCUCUGCCGUCCCACAGGCAAACUGUCCCUGGAAGAGUUCAUUAAAGGUGCCAAGAGCGACCCCUCCAUCGUCCGCUUGUUACAGUGUGACCCCAGCAGCGCCAGUCAGUUCUGAGGGACCCGGCGUCCGGAAGGUUGCAGAGAAACACAGGCUCUGCCUCGCCGUUUCAGCUUUGCUUGCAAAAGUGGAUGCCUCUCCUCCACCGCUCCUGCUCUCCCGGCCGGGGCCCCGGGCGACACGCGGCACCUGCCCGGCCUGGCGGCUGCGCCUCCCCCCUCCCCCCGGCCCCCUCCUGCCCCGGCCCGGCCCCCAGGGCGCCGCCCGGGCAGGUGUUUACACGCGGGGCUCAUAGGUCUCGAUUCCGGGGUGCCUCCCCGCCCCGGGGAGCCCAGGGCACGCGGCUGAGGACACUGAUGGGACUUCCCAAGAUGGAGACAAGGCGGGCUCAUCCAUCUCGCGAUCGCGGGUGACCGUGGGAAAGCCGGGGACAAGAACGGAGGGAGAGGAGACGGGCAAGCCCUCCCCCGUGCAUGGCUCCACCUCGCUCGUCCGUGGCCUCCGAUCAGAGCUGCUCGCACGUACGCAUACUAUGGCCUCCUUUCUUUUGAUAUAUAAAUUAUGCCCAUGGUGAGGUGCAAUGUCCCGUGUAGGUCCCGUAUUUCAUGCCUCCGUUGCCUGUGAAGCGUGGUUCCCUCGUGGCCUGUGAUCUCCCCUCCCGCCCCCCGCCCCCGGCCCCGAACCUGGUUAUCUUGUGGUAUUUAUGCGCUCUCCAUCCGCCCGUGUCAAAGGAAAUGCAUGCGUGCCCCGUGCCGUGGAGACCCUCCCGUCCACGUAGUGAACACAGGCGUCUGUGCAAGGGCUGUCCUCCCGUUGAUUGGUCUGGCAUUUCCUGUAUUAAAAUGAUCAAAUAAAC
rnacentral:lncRNA from 1 species